GAUGAACGCUGGCGGCGUGCCUAACACAUGCAAGUCGAGCGGACGGACGAGAAUUUUGCUUCUCUGCUGUUAGCGGCGGGCGGGUGAGUCACACGAGUAUAACCGACCUUUAAGACUGACAUCACGUCGGGAAAGCGGAUAUAACAUCCGAUAAGAUUUUGAACCGCAUGGUUCAUAAGAGAAAAACGGUCUUGAUGUCACUUAUAGGUGUAUCCUCGUUGGAUUAGCUAGUUGGUACGGUAACGGCUUACCAAGGCUACGAUGCAUAGACGACCUGAGAGGGUGAUCAGCCACACUGGAACUGAGACACGGUCCAGACUCCUACGGGAGGCAGCAGUGGGGAAUCUUGGGCAAUGGGCGAAAGCCUGACCCAGCAACGCCGCGUGUGUGAUGAAGGUCUUCGGAUCGUAAAACACUGUUAGUUGGGAGGAAGAUAUGUAUAAGUAAAUGUGGAUAUCUUGACGGUACCAACUCAAAAAGCACCGGCUAACUACGUG
rnacentral:rRNA from 1 species